rnacentral:rRNA from 1 species
AUCCUACGGGGGGCAGCAGCCGCGGUAAUACGUAGGUGGCAAGCGUUAUCCGGAUUUAUUGGGCGUAAAGGGAACGCAGGCGGUCUUUUAAGUCUGAUGUGAAAGCCUUCGGCUUAACCGGAGUAGUGCAUUGGAAACUGGGAGACUUGAGUGCAGAAGAGGAGAGUGGAACUCCAUGUGUAGCGGUGAAAUGCGUAGAUAUAUGGAAGAACACCAGUGGCGAAAGCGGCUCUCUGGUCUGUAACUGACGCUGAGGUUCGAAAGCGUGGGUAGCAAACAGGAUUAGAUACCCGAGUAGUCCUCAU